AUUGAACGCUGGCGGCAUGCCUUACACAUGCAAGUCGAACGGUAACAGGUCUUCGGAUGCUGACGAGCGGCGAACGGGUGAGUAAUACAUCGGAACGUGCCCGAGAGUGGGGGAUAACGAGGCGAAAGCUUUGCUAAUACCGCAUACGAUCUCAGGAUGAAAGCAGGGGACCGCAAGGCCUUGCGCUCACGGAGCGGCCGAUGGCAGAUUAGGUAGUUGGUGGGAUAAAAGCUUACCAAGCCGACGAUCUGUAGCUGGUCUGAGAGGACGACCAGCCACACUGGGACUGAGACACGGCCCAGACUCCUACGGGAGGCAGCAGUGGGGAAUUUUGGACAAUGGGCGCAAGCCUGAUCCAGCCAUGCCGCGUGCAGGAUGAAGGCCUUCGGGUUGUAAACUGCUUUUGUACGGAACGAAAAGACUCUAGUUAAUACCUGGGGUCCAUGACGGUACCGUAAGAAUAAGCACCGGCUAACUACGUGCCAGCCGCCGCCGUAACAC
rnacentral:rRNA from 1 species